rnacentral:rRNA from 1 species
AAGGAAUAUUGCGCAAUGGGCGACAGCCUGACGCAGCGACGCCGCGUGGGGGAUGAAGGUCUUCGGAUUGUAAACCCCUUUCGGCAGGGAAGAUGGAACGGGUAACCGUUCGGACGGUACCUGCAGAAGCAGCCACGGCUAACUUCGUGCCAGCAGCCGCGGUAAUACGAAGGUGGCAAGCGUUGUUCGGAUUUACUGGGCGUACAGGGAGCGUAGGCGGUUGGGUAAGCCCUUCGUGAAAUCUCCGGGCCUAACCCGGAAAGUGCGGAGGGGACUGCUCGGCUAGAGGAUGGGAGAGGAGCGCGGAAUUCCCGGUGUAGCGGUGAAAUGCGUAGAGAUCGGGAGGAAGGCCGGUGGCGAAGGCGGCGCUCUGGAACAUUUCUGACGCUGAGGCUCGAAAGCGUGGGGAGCAAAC